rnacentral:rRNA from 1 species
UACAGAGGUCCCAAGCGUUGUUCGGAUUCACUGGGCGUAAAGGGUGCGUAGGUGGCAUGGCCAGUUUGAUGUGAAAGCUCAGGGCUUAACCCUGAAAUGGCAUUGAAUACUGCUGUGCUGGAGGUUUGGAGGGGGGACUGGAAUUCUUGGUGUAGCAGUGAAAUGCGUAGAUAUCAAGAGGAACACCAGUGGCGAAGGCGAGUCCCUGGACAACACCUGACACUGAGGCACGAAAGCUAGGGGAGCAAACAGG